UAUCAUUAAAUAAAUGUUAAUAACUUCCUCAUGGGAGCCUGGUGUGCAAUGGCUGCAAACAGCAACCUUCUUGGUAGUAUAUGCGGCCUGUUGCUUGUAUACAUUGCUCUAAGGGACCUUGGAGACAUGC
ensembl:snoRNA SNORA70 Small nucleolar RNA SNORA70